AGGCAACCACCUUUGUGAAUCACUCGGAAGGUAGGUGUUAUUCUGAUCGUAAAUCAAUUUCUUAUGCUCUUCAGAUUUGUUGAGAUUCAAACUCUAUGAAGCUGGUCUAGUAAGCCUAAGUACAUU